UUUCUGUCUCACUGCUCUCCUGCUUCCCAUCCAGCGUUACCCACCUUCCAGUCCUGAAUCCUUCUCCUUCUCUUUCCUCCUCCCAAACUUGGUUUUAUCAAAUUGAGUGAGAAGAAGUUCUCAAACUCUUAGUGUACUCUUCCGACAUCUCCAACACUCUAUCUUCAUGUAUUCAUAGGUUCAACACAUUUUACUGAGGACCUAGUGGUGGCUUCCAUUUUUGAAAAGUGCAUCAGGCCUCAAUUUAGAGUUUGGAGAAAAUUGUAGCUAGUGUCAAGGACUCGUUCAGUUUGUUUUAUUGAAUUUACUUCGGGAUAAGACCCCUUGAAGAUCUGGUGGGGGUUUGGGUGUGAGAAAAGAUCUGGUGAGCUGCUGGAGAGGGUCUGUUAAUUUCCUCCGCUCUCAACCUGAUGAAAACACUGGAUGGGAGAAGACGGAUGGGGAGGGGGCUGUGCCAGAGAGAGCCCUGGACUUGUACAGGGGCCCGGUCUGGACAUCAGGCUUUGUUGUGCCAAGUGGGCAUCCCUUAGCACCAUCAGAGAGAAAACUGGAAUGAACAAAGCCACAGGGGCCAGUGGCUAAAGUCAUCACUGCCUCAGUAAGAAACACAUUUUACUGAUACUGGGAAAACUGGAAAGCCAC